UCCGGUUUCGUGUUGUCAUUCCUGGAUUCUCGUGCACAGUACACGUAUAAGGAUUGUGAUAAAAUAUAAUUGCCUUAUGUGAAAAGUUUUUUUUUGUUCUAUAUACCAGGAUGCAUCGUAUACAUCGGCCAUACUUCCGGUUUGGUGUAGUCAUUCCUGAAUUCUCCUGCACAAUAUAAGGAUUGUUUAUAUUUCUUAUACAGGUACAAUGUUUCUCAAGACCAAAAUAAAAAGCCCUCCCAAGGUCGUUAGAA